UGGCAAAAAUGUGUUGAUUGCAAUGGUUCCUAUUCUGAUUAAUAAAACAUGUAUUUGAGCCUAGUUAUAAUGAUUUAAAAAUCAUGGUCCAAAACUGCAAUCACUUUUGCACCAAC
rnacentral:miRNA from 10 species